UACGUAGGGUGCAGGCGUUAAUCGGAAUUACUGGGCGUAAAGCGUGCGCAGGCGGUUUGCUAAGACAGGUGUGAAAUCCCCGGGCUUAACCUGGAACAGUCGGAGGGGACUGCUGGGCUAGAGGACGGGAGAGGAGCGCGGAAUUCCCAGUGUAGCGGUGAAAUGCGUAGAGAUCGGGAGGAAGGCCGGUGGCGAAGGCGGCCCCCUGGGUCAACACGUGACGCUCAUGCACGAAAGCGUGGGGAGCAAACAGG
rnacentral:rRNA from 1 species